rnacentral:tRNA from 1 species
GGACAGGUGGCCGAGUGGUUGAAGGCAGCGGUCUUGAAAACCGCCAAGGGUUAACCCCCUUCGUGGGUUCGAAUCCCACCCUGUCCGCCA